CAGCAGCCGCGGUAAUACGAAGGGUGCAAGCGUUAAUCGGAAUUACUGGGCGUAAAGCGUGCGUAGGCGGUGAGUUAAGUCUGCUGUGAAAUCCCCGGGCUCAACCUGGGAAUGGCAAUGGAUACUGGCAAGCUAGAGUGUGUCAGAGGAUGGUGGAAUUCCCGGUGUAGCGGUGAAAUGCGUAGAGAUCGGGAGGAACAUCAGUGGCGAAGGCAGCCCCCUGGGCCAAUACUGACGCUCAUGCACGAAAGCGUGGGGAGCAAACAGGAUUAGAUACCCCCGUAGUCCCUGUCUCUUAUAC
rnacentral:rRNA from 1 species